CAGGCUUCAUUGUGAUUGGCGGGCUAAAUAAAUUAUGACAGUUAUUGUUUGAUUUUCUUUAUUAAUUUAAUUUGUUCUUCAAAUUACAGUUGUGUUAUGAUCGUCAGUUUUCAAAGAAUUCCGCUCAAACUGGUGCUAGGGGCCGUCUUAAACUUGCAGCGAAGUGAGAGAUUUUAUUCCUUGUUGAAGUCCUCACUAUGACUUUGAGAUGAAGAAAAGCAAUAAAAGCACUGUUCCUUUGCUUUUUGUGUGUUAACUAUGCAUGAAAUUGAAUCGUGAUAUUUUUUGUGUCAUGGAUGGAUACCCCACAUCCUUUCUUUUCUAUUACAUACACUGUUCACUAAUUUAUGCUAAUAUAUCAAUGGCCUAUAUGAAUUAUUUUUUUGCUUUGUUACAAGCACAUUUAACAAAUCACAAGGCAAGGUUUUACUUGAAUAAGUCCAAGAAAAAAAUGUGCAGAGUUCCAACUUACAAUGGCGUUUCAGAAAGGAAG
rnacentral:lncRNA from 1 species